rnacentral:rRNA from 1 species
CCUACGGGGGGCUGCAGUGGGGAAUAUUGGACAAUGGGCGAAAGCCUGAUCCUGCCAUGCCGCGUGUGUGAAGAAGGCCUUCGGGUUGUAAAGCACUUUCAGUGGGGAAGAAAGCCUUGGGGCUAAUACCCUCGAGGAAGGACAUCACCCACAGAAGAAGCACCGGCUAACUCCGUGCCAGCAGCCGCGGUAAUACGGAGGGUGCGAGCGUUAAUCGGAAUUACUGGGCGUAAAGCGCGCGUAGGCGGUCUGAUAAGCCGGUUGUGAAAGCCCCGGGCUCAACCUGGGAACGGCAUCCGGAACUGUCAGGCUAGAGUGCAGGAGAGGAAGGUAGAAUUCCCGGUGUAGCGGUGAAAUGCGUAGAGAUCGGGAGGAAUACCAGUGGCGAAGGCGGCCUUCUGGACUGACACUGACGCUGAGGUGCGAAAGCGUGGGUAGCAAACAGGAUUAGAUACCCCAGUAGUC